rnacentral:rRNA from 1 species
AUACGGAGGGUGCGAGCGUUGUUCGGAAUUAUUGGGCGUAAAGAGCAUGUAGGCGGUCUGUUAAGUCUGGUGUGAAAGCCCGGGGCUCAACCCCGGAAGUGCAUUGGAUACUGGCAGACUUGAGUAUGGGAGAGGAAAGCGGAAUUCCGAGUGUAGGAGUGAGAUCCGUAGAUAUUCGGAGGAACACCAGUGGCGAAGGCGGCUUUCUGGACCAAUACUAACGCUGAGAUGCGAAAGCGUGGGGAGCGAACAGGAUUAGAAACCCCAGUAGUCC